UCAUAUUGAACGCUGGCGGCAGGCCUAACACAUGCAAGUCGAGCGGUAACAUUUCUAAGCUUGCUUAGAAGAUGACGAGCGGCGGACGGGUGAGUAAUGCUUGGGGAUCUGCCUGAUGGCGGGGGACAACCACUGGAAACGGUGGCUAAUACCGCAUAAUACCUAUGGGUCAAAGUGUGGGACCUUCGGGCCACACGCCAUCAGAUGAACCCAAGUGAGAUUAGCUGGUUGGUAAGGUAACGGCUUACCAAGGCGACGAUCUCUAGCUGGUCUGAGAGGAUGAUCAGCCACACUGGGACUGAGACACGGCCCAGACUCCUACGGGAGGCAGCAGUGGGGAAUAUUGGACAAUGGGGGCAACCCUGAUCCAGCCAUGCCGCGUGUGUGAAGAAGGCCUUCGGGUUGUAAAGCACUUUCAGUGGUGAGGAAGGUGGUGUCGUUAAUAGCGGCAUCAAUUGACGUUAGCCACAGAAGAAGCACCGGCUAACUCCGUGCCAGCAGCCGCGGUAAUACGGAGGGUGCGAGCGUUAAUCGGAAUUACUGGGCGUAAAGCGCACGUAGGCGGUAUGUUAAGCAAGAUGUGAAAGCCCAGAGCUCAACUCUGGAAUAGCAUUUUGAACUGGCAUGCUAGAGUUUUGGAGAGGGUGGUAGAAUCUCCAGUGUAGCGGUGAAAUGCGUAG
rnacentral:rRNA from 1 species